rnacentral:pre_miRNA from 1 species
AGUGGAAUAGUUGGGUUAAAUGGUGGUUCCAUUCCAACUUUUCCAAGGAAUUUCCAUACUGCUUUUCAUAUUGGUUGUACCAAUUUGCAGUCCCACAAGCAAU